GUCGAAUUAGCUCAGUUAGGUAGAGCGCCCGGCUUUUAACCGUGUGGUCGCGGGUUCGAUCCCCGCAUUCGGUA